CCCCUCUCAGGAUCACACCUGGAGAGUUUCCAGUACUCUACCAGUCUCGGCUAGGGGAGGGAGAGGCAAGUAGGGGCCUAACCCAUUCCAUUCCUAGCUUGGGCAGUGGCUAGCAAGUGGAAGGCAAUCUGUUACAAGU